AGUGAACGCUGGCGGUAGGCCUAACACAUGCAAGUCGAACGGCAGCACAGUAAGAGCUUGCUCUUACGGGUGGCGAGUGGCGGACGGGUGAGGAAUACAUCGGAAUCUACUUUUUCGUGGGGGCUAACGCAGGGACUCUUACGCUAAUACCGCAUACGACCUACGGGUGAAAGCAGGGGAUCUUCGGCCCUUGCGCGAUUGUAUGAGCCGAUGUCGGAUUAGCUAGUUGGCGGGGUAAAGGCCCACCAAGGCGACGCUCCGUAGCUGGUCUGAGAGGAUGAUCAGUAACACUGGAACUGAGACAAGGUGCAGACGCCUAAGGGAGGGAGCAGUGGGGAAUAUUGGACAAUGGGCGAAAGUCUGAUCCAGCCAUGGCGCGUGUGUGAAGAAGGUCUUCGGAUUGUAAAGCAGUUUAAGUUGGGAGGAAGGGCAGGAAGUUAAUACCUUGCUGUUUUGACGUUACCAAAAGAAUAAGCACCGGCUAACUUCGUG
rnacentral:rRNA from 1 species